GCGUUCGUAGUCCAACGGUUCGGAUAAUUGCUUUCCAAGCAAUAGACCGGGGUGCGAUCCCGGCAAACGCA
rnacentral:tRNA from 1 species